UUAUUUUAUUUUAAGAUUUGAGCAUCAUGUAGACGUGAUGUUUUAGAAUGUAAAAUAGUCGUAUAUAUAAAAUAUAAUAGAAUUAAAAUUUUUAAUUUGGUUAUAAUAUUUAGAGCAGCGACUAGAUUUAAGAAGUUAAAAAGGUUAAUGUAGAAUGUGAUGUUUUAGAAUUUAAAAUAGUCGUAUAUGUAAAAUAUAAUAGAAUUAAUUUUUUUAAUUUGGUUACAAUAUUUAAAGCGAUUAGAUUUAAGAAGUUAAGAAGGCUAAUGAAUAAGAACUCGAGUAAUUUUUGAAUGGAUGACCUUUUAAAAAGUAAGGACGUGACAAAUUGUAAAU
rnacentral:lncRNA from 1 species